rnacentral:tRNA from 13 species
CCAAAGAAUGGUGGAAUAUUUUAAGAAAAAAUAUCCUCCAAAAAAAAAGGAGAGCAAUUUCUUCUUUCCUCUUCUCAUUGGCGCUGUUGUCAUUCUUCUUCUCUCUUAUUUCUUCUUUCUUUUCUAAUUCAUU